UUAUGCAGCCGGGGAGGACCAGGGGGACCCAUACAGGUUGAUGGAGUGGCGACCUGGAUACACCACUCUCACGUGAGACCUGCCAAAGAGGACGAGUGAGAGCAGCAGCGAGUUCAGUGGAGAGCCUCGGCAGAUCCAGAGAAUCCACUGAAGACCAGACUGACUCGUGUGACAACCAGACCGCCGCUGGGGAGGGGGGGCGGGGCAGGGCACUGUAAUAUAAUUUAAACUGAGGGUUUCUCCCAUCUCGGGCGCUGUAGGGCCCAAUCCAGUGCUGGGGGAACCGGUUCUAACAUUUUGGGGCUGCUAGGGGGAGAACAAAAUAGCCCACGCCUGACUUUUCACCCCACCCACACUUUUAAGGACCCCAGUGGCAGAGGUAGAAGUGCAAGUAACCUCCCGGAACAAAAGAGUCAGGAGAUCCCUUAUAAAAAAAUGCUGACAGCAGCAUAUGAGGCAUUAAACCGCUCCGACCCCAGUGCUAUGGAAGCUUGUUGGUUACACUAUGACAUCAGACCCCCUUUCUAUGAAGCAAUAGGAAUAGAUGCCCCCUUCAACCGUACGGGGGAGGAGGCCCCUAGGUCCUGCACGUGGGACCACAAGGGCCCGGGGCUGACACUUCAGACAGUAACUGGGAACGGAACCUGCGUAGGAAAGAUGCCCCCUAGCCAUGCACACUUUUGUGCCAAAAUCCACCCAUCUGUAAACCGGACUGGAGGAACAAAAUGGGUGAUUCCGGCGCUCAGUGGAUGGUGGGUUUGUUCUAAAACAGGCCUGACUCCAUGCCUCAGCCUGUCUGUUUUUAAUGAGUCAGAGAAAGUCUGCAUCACAGUGCUAGUGUUCCCUAAGGUUAUCUACCACCAAGAGAAUAUAGUAUAUGAUGCAUGGGCAAAAGGCACAGAAGGUGCCGGGUUGACUACAAAAAAAAGAGAGCCCUUUACAGCAAUAAGCGUAGCCACCCUUUUCGGUCUGAGCGCAAUAGGAACAGGGACAAGAAUCUCAUCCUUAGCAAUACAACAUAGGAGGUUCAAUAAUUCGAGAGCUGCCAUAGAUAAAGACAUAGCCAAAAUUUAAAAAAAUCCAUCUCUCUUUUAAAAAAAGUCCCUAACCUCACUGUCUGAGGUGGUGCUACAGAACCGGAGGGGACUAGACCUCAUAUUUCUCCAACAGGGAGGGCUAUGUGCGGCCCUUGGGGAAGAGUGCUGUUUCCACGCUGACCAUACUGGGAUAGUUAGAGACACCAUGGCUAAAGUCAGGAAAGGACUGACAAAGCAAAAACAGGAGCGUGAACAAAGAGAAGGAUGGUUUGAGUCAUGGUUCAAUAGCUCCCCUUGGCUGACUACUUUGCUUUCCACUAUAUUAGGACCCCUAAUUGUGCUCCUGCUCAUCCUCACUUUCAGACCGUGUAUUCUAAAUAGAUUAGUUACUUUUGUAAAAGAGCGGGUCAAUACCAUACAAUUGAUGGUAUUGCGGCAGCAAUACCAAAAGCUGAACUGUGAUACCUGCUUAGAAAUAGAGGAGGUGCGAGACCCCAUGUACGAGCAAGAGUGCUCGUAGGUAAAAGAAAAAGGGGGGAAUGAAGAACGGGAAUUGUUUUAAAAAAAAAAAAAAGUGUGCUCUCUUUGAUUCUAACGGAUGCUAAUUGCUUCUGUAAAUAUGGUUUGCUGACUUAGCUUAAGUGGAGCCGAGACGGUAGUAACAGGCCUGGGCAGGUAACCGCAAGUUACUUCCUGAUAAAGGACUGGAGAGUCCCGGGGCCUCCAACCAAUUAACCAGAUCAGAAGGGCAAGGCAUAAUCAAAAGCCAGUCCCGCAGCUUGAAAGCCAACCAAUCAGGAGCCAAGACAAUCAGCCACUUUUGAAA